AUUGUGUUCUUGUGGUCUAAAAUCAGCAUUUUGCGAGCAGUCAUUUUCCCCAUCACUGUCGCUCGACAUGUCCGAAAUAUCACUUCCAUUUUCAACGCUAUUUUUGCCAGUACGCAGUCGUUUGGAUGCAGUUUGUCCUGCUUCGCUACCAGCUCGCUUCUUUGACAUUAUCUAAGCUUUUUCACAGCGAUAAUAUUGACCAAAAAACGAAAAUAAAGCAAAAAUUUUGCUCCAGUUUAAAUGGUAUUUGUUGCACAUGUACUCGCGGGAAAACGCGUGAAUUUUAAAAUUGGACCCAG
rnacentral:lncRNA from 1 species